rnacentral:rRNA from 1 species
UACAGGGGGGGCAAGCGUUGUUCGGAAUUACUGGGCGUAAAGGGCUCGUAGGUGGCCAACUAAGUCGGACGUGAAAUCCCUCAGCUUAACUGGGGAACUGCGUCCGAUACUGGAUGGCUUGAGUUUGGGAGAGGGAUGCGGUAUUCCAGGUGUAGCGGUGAAAUGCGUAGAUAUCUGGAGGAACACCGGUGGCGAAGGCGGCAUCCUGGACCAACACUGACACUGAGGAGCGAAAGCCAGGGGAGCAAACGGG